AUAAAACUUUCAAGAUUUUUUUUUCUGUAAUAAUGCAUUUCCCAUACAAAAUUGACAAGAUAAUAAAUUAGUUUGCCUUUUAUUUCAAAUCUUUUGGGUUUGGAUUAUUACUUGAGUAAAAUCAAAUAAUUCCGUAUUCUUUUUUCGGAACGGUUUUGACUUUUAUCGGAUGAAAGUGUACGUCAUGUUUGACGUCACUGCUGCAGCAGAAGUGCUGGAUACUGGGUGUCGGAAAAAAUGCACUCAACAAUUUGAGUUCAGUGUCACAGUGCUGCUUUUUUAUCAAGUCCGAGAAGCCCAAAUCUGAUAAGACUGGCGAUUGAUCCUAACUGCCCAAAGCUGAUUCUGACAGACGACUGCAUCAUCACAAUAUUAAAGGUUCAAUAUACAGUCAGCCUCUCAUAAGAAAAAAUCCAAAGAUCCAAGGCUUGCUUCAAAGUUAAGAUACCAUUCUGUGCCACAAAGAAAUUGUUCAGGAAGGGGAGAACUGGUGGAUUUGCAUUUUUGGUACACUUCAAAGAGAUUUUCAAAAUGGUCAGGUCAGAGGGAGGACAACUGAAAAUAUUGAAAAGAUACAGAAGGAAAAAGAACCUGGAAAUCUAUGGAAUAAUUAUGAAAUGUGGAGGAUGUACACAAUCUUGUCUGAAUUUGACCUGUAAAGAUAUCUCAUUCUUAUUUGUAUGCUAGAAUAUCAAAUAACUUGAUUUUUCAUAAAUUUACAAUAGAGAAUACAUGACAAAUGUUAUUGCAGAUAUUUCAAUUUUGCUGGGGACAAUUUCAUGUCAUAUGGUAUUUUUAUACAAGUACA